ensembl:snRNA U4 U4 spliceosomal RNA
AGCUUUGCGCAGUGGCGGUAUCCUAGCCAGUGAGGUUUAUCCAAGGUGCGAUUAUUGCUUAUUGAAAACUUUUCCCAAUACCUCGCCGCAAGGACUUGAAAUAUAGUCGGCAUUGGCAAUUUCUGACAGUCUCUAUGGAGA